GAGGGUAUAGCUCAAGUGGUAGAGUGCAUGCUUGACAUGCACAAGGUCCCAGGUUCAAUUCCCAGUACCUCUU
rnacentral:tRNA from 1 species